rnacentral:rRNA from 1 species
ACGCUCGACACCUACGGGGGGCAGCAGUCGGGAAUAUUGCGCAAUGGAGGAAACUCUGACGCAGUGACGCCGCGUAUAGGAAGAAGGUCUUCGGAUUGUAAACUAUUGUCGUUAGGGAAGAAAAAGGACAGUACCUAAGGAGGAAGCUCCGGCUAACUACGUGCUAGCAGCCGCGGUAAUCUGAGCGGGCUGGCAAGGC